UAGGGAAUCUUCGGCAAUGGACGGAAGUCUGACCGAGCAACGCCGCGUGAGUGAAGAAGGUUUUCGGAUCGUAAAGCUCUGUUGUAAGAGAAGAACGAGUGUGAGAGUGGAAAGUUCACACUGUGACGGUAUCUUACCAGAAAGGGACGGCUAACUACGUGCCAGCAGCCGCGGUAAUACGUAGGUCCCGAGCGUUGUCCGGAUUUAUUGGGCGUAAAGCGAGCGCAGGCGGUUAGAUAAGUCUGAAGUUAAAGGCUGUGGCUUAACCAUAGUAGGCUUUGGAAACUGUUUAACUUGAGUGCAAGAGGGGAGAGUGGAAUUCCAUGUGUAGCGGUGAAAUGCGUAGAUAUAUGGAGGAACACCGGUGGCGAAAGCGGCUCUCUGGCUUGUAACUGACGCUGAGGCUCGAAAGCGUGGGGAGCAAACAGGAUUAGAUACCCUGGUAGUCCACGCUGUAAACGAUGAGUGCUAGGUGUUAGACCCUUUCCGGGGUUUAGUGCCGUAGCUACGCAUUAAGCACUCCGCCUGGGGAGUACGACCGCAAGGU
rnacentral:rRNA from 1 species